UUUAGAAAGCGGUACAUGUCCGGUCAAAACCCUACACAAGGAAAAAUAGCAAUUCCAAUCUCUCUCUCUCUCUCUCUCUCUCUCUCCCCUCGAUUCGGCUCUGAAGAUCUGCCCUUAACCAUCAGAGGUACGUUCGGCCACAUUCAGCUAUCUUGCUUCUGUUCACCGUCCCAAUCAAACAUCUCAGCUCGUUUUUCUUCUAUGGCUGGCCAGAGAAGUUAUGGAAAACGUACCCAUUCUCACUCUGAUUAUGCGGAUGAUGGGGGAAAUAAAAGGAGAAAUCACAGUGAUGAUAGAGACUCCUUUUCUAUUGGGAAGGAAGAUACUGUAUACCGAUUCCUGUGUCCUGGAAAGAAGAUUGGGAGUAUUAUAGGAAGGGGUGGCGAAAUCGUUAAGCAAUUAAGGGCAGACAGUAAAUCAAAAAUUAGGAUUGGUGAGACGGUAAGAGGAUGCGAGGAGCGCGUUGUCACUAUCUACAGCUCAAGUGAAGAAACAAAUAGGUUUGAUGACUCUGACGAUAUGGUUUGUCCAGCCCAGGAUGCCCUGUUCAGGGUGCAUGACAGAGUUGUUGCUGAGGAGUUGGGGGCUGAUGAGAACAUGGAAGAAACCCCACAAGUUACUGUUAAACUUCUUGUGCCGUCUGAUCAGAUUGGUGGUGUUAUCGGGAAAGGAGGACAGAUAGUUCAGAAUAUACGCAGUGAAACUGGUGCCCAAAUUCGCAUUUUGAAAGAUGACCAUUUGCCUGCUUGUGCAUUGGGCUCCGAUGAACUUGUGCAGAUAUCUGGUGAACCCCGUGUUGUGAGGAAGGCUCUUUAUCAAAUUGCAUCUCGUCUUCACGACAAUCCAUCUCGGUCCCAGCACCUGCUUGCUUCUGCCACGGCCAAUGUAUAUCCUUCUAGUGGUACAGUCCUGGGCCCAGGUGGCCCAAUAAUAGGGUUAGCUCCACUUGGUCCUUAUGGAGGGUAUAAAGGUGACAGGGGAGACUGGUCGCGCCCUUAUUACUCAGCUUCGAGGGAUGGGGCAUCUUCAAAGGAGUUUUCUCUUUGUUUGGUUUGUCCUACUGUAAAUCUCGGUGGUGUAAUUGGGAAGGGUGGCACCAUAAUCAAUCAAAUCAGACAAGAGACUGGGGCUGCUAUCAAAGUCGAUAGUUCAGCUGCAGAGGGAGAUGAUUGCUUGAUAUCUAUUUCUGCGAAAGAGAACUUUGAAGACGCAUUCUCUCCAACAAUUGAAGCAGCAUUGCGCUUGCAAUCGAGGUGCAGUGAAAAGGUUGAAAGAGAUUCGGGUCUUAUUUCAUUUACAACUCGUCUUCUUGUCCCAACCUCUAGGGUUGGCUGCCUUAUUGGCAAAGGAGGAUCUAUCAUUAAUGAGAUGAGGAGAAUCACCCAAGCUAAUAUUCGCGUACUUUCCAAGGGAAGUCUCCCGAAAGUCGCAGCUGAAGAUGAUGAAAUGGUGCAGAUUUCUGGAGACCCUGAUCUUGCUAAAGAUGCUCUUGUGCAAGUAACUUCACGGUUAAGGGCAAAUCUGUUUGAUAGAGAGGGUGCUGUAUCUGCGAUGCUCCCGGUCCUUCCAUACCUUCCCAUGUCAGCAGAUGGUUCAGAUGGUUUGAAAUAUGACAGUAGAGAUAGUAGAAGGCAUGGACGUGGACCUUAUUCCAGUGGAUAUGGUGACGCUAGUGAUUUGCCUUCUGUUGAUGGCUAUGGAAGUUAUGGUGGUUCACAGAGUGGCGGUAAUGGUGGUGGUUAUGGAGCAUAUGGUGGCUAUUCUUCGGGCCGGACUGAUAGUUCUAUGUUUUCCGGUAAGAACCCUGUUUCUCGGAGGAAAAACUAUGAUUACUAAAGUUGGAUGAUGGGACUUGCAGUUGGCCUAGUUGCAGGUCCUGAACUGUGGAUGGUAAGAGAAUUCCCCCCAGAACAUUUUUCUUUUGAUGCAAGGAUGCAAACCCCUCAAUAACAAAUUUGAACAGACAAGGUGAGAUGGAUUACCUUUUUCUAUUCUUUCACCCUGAAAUACCCUUGAAGUGUUCACCAUUUAUGACACUAGACAUUUGGCACUCAAUUUUCAAACCAGGGGAUAAACUGGUGAGUGAACAUCUGAGCAGCUGAAUCGUUUGCCUUCAUAACAUCAAUCUUAAUGGCACACUUACAUGCCUCUUACUUUCUGACCUGUUGCUGUAUGUUUCGCACUGGGCCUUUUUGUUGCCAUCUAUUUCCUGUGCUAGAUUACUAGGUUCUGUCAAUAUCGGCUGCAGAGAUAAUUGUUGUUGGACAGGCUACUUGGAGUAAAAUCGAAGAUUUGUCGGAAAGUUCACAAAAAUCCUGAUACUUCGUGGGUUUAUGUUACAUGCUAGGAAGACAUGUAUUAUCAUUUGAUGCCAUUCAGUUUGCUCUUUCUUGCCAUUGCCGGCAGGUUCAGUGAAUAUUUGUUCCAUGGUGCAUGAGACAGGUAACCUCUGUGGGGCUAACCACAUUUGAAACAGGUUAGUUCACCUAUAAUGAGCAAAGCUGAAAAAGUUCACUAACAUAUGUAUGUGUUAUUGUUCUACAAUGUUAAGUUUUGUAGUUCUAUACACAUUGGAGUAGCUUAUACUUAGGGAUGUCUAUUUUCUCUCCAAUUUCAUUGCAGCAUAUUUGUGUGUGCUAGCUGCCUAGCUUAGCUCUUGGUAUUGAUUGGCGUUAAACUUACACUGACUCGUUUUCUGUCUUUUGGUGGUUUGUUCUUCUACCACAUUGUCCCUCUCUGGGUGUCGUGUCAUUCAAAGGAUAUGUCCUUGCAAUAAACCAAGAUUAUCGUAACAUGAUUUUGGUCUCUUU